rnacentral:snoRNA from 1 species
GAUCAGUGAUGAAAAUAGCCAAAUCUGAGCAUCAGAAGACCUUUUAUUUUACCUGAUACACGAUCUCUGUAGUUCUGACA